CGUCAUUUCUCUCUCCACACCUAGUGGGUAUUGGCACUGUACACAGUGCUCAAAACAAUCAUGCGUAUGUGUUAACCACAAUGUGCGCUUAAAACUUAACUAUUGACCUCGUAUAAGGUAAGAGUACCCACUGAACUUAAGCAUAUCAAUAAGUGGAGGAAAAGAAACCAACAGGGAUUGCCUUAGUAGCGGCGAGUGAAGCGGCAAAAGCUCAAAUUUGAAAUCUGCCUUACGGCCGAGUUGUAAUUUGUAGAUGGUAACUCUGCGACAAGUCUUUGCUCAAGUGUUCUGGAAAGGACCAUCAUGGAGGGUGAUAAUCCCGUGAGGCAUUGAUGCAGUUGCGUGUAGAGUGCUAUCGAAGAGUCGAGUUGUUUGGGAAUGCAGCUCAAAGUGGGUGGUAGACACCAUCUAAAGCUAAAUAUUGGCGAGAGACCGAUAGCGAACAAGUACUGUGAAGGAAAGAUGAAAAGCACUUUGAAAAGAGAGUGAAAAAGUACGUGAAAUUAUUGAUACAGAAGGAUAUACAAUUGGACACGGAGUCUUGGGUUCGCUGCUUCUUCGGGAGUAGUUUGUCCCUUGAUUCUUCACCAGCAUCAGUUUUGGCAGGAGGAUAAACAACAUGGAAUGUAGCUGCUUGCAGUGUUAUAGACUUGUUGCAUACUCUUUGCCGGGACUGAGGUCAGCCUUUGUAGGAUGCUGGGGUAACGAUUGUAUAUCACCCGUCUUGAAACA
rnacentral:rRNA from 1 species